AUUGAACGCUGGCGGCAUGCUUUACACAUGCAAGUCGAACGGUAACAGGCCGCAAGGUGCUGACGAGUGGCGCACGGGUGAGUAAUGCAUCGGAACGUGCCCAGUCGUGGGGGAUAACUACUCGAAAGAGUAGCUAAUACCGCAUACGAUCUAUGGAUGAAAGCGGGGGACCGUAAGGCCUCGCGCGAUUGGAGCGGCCGAUGUCAGAUUAGGUAGUUGGUGGGGUAAAGGCUCACCAAGCCAACGAUCUGUAGCUGGUCUGAGAGGACGACCAGCCACACUGGGACUGAGACACGGCCCAGACUCCUACGGGAGGCAGCAGUGGGGAAUGUUGGACAAUGGGCGCAAGCCUGAUCCAGCAAUGCCGCGUGCAGGAAGAAGGCCUUCGGGUUGUAAACUGCUUUUGUACGGAACGAAACGGCUCUGGUUAAUACCCGGGGCUAAUGACGGUACCGUAAGAAUAAGCACCGGCUAACUACGUG
rnacentral:rRNA from 1 species